UAUACGACUCUCGGCAACGGAUAUCUCGGCUCUCGCAUCGAUGAAAAACGUAGCGAAAUGCGAUACUUGGUGUGAAUUGCAGAAUCCCGUGAACCAUCGAGUCUUUGAACGCAAGUUGCGCCCGAGGCCUUUUGGUUGAGGGCACGCCUGCCUGGGCGUCACGC
rnacentral:rRNA from 1 species